rnacentral:misc_RNA from 1 species
ACACCUCAACUCUCACGGUUUGCCGUGAUGAGCUUGGACUUUGGGGGUCUUGCUGGCCUAUGGUCAGCUCCUCUCAAAUGGAUCAGCUUGCCAGUGUUUGGUGGCAUCGCAGGUGUGAUAACUAUCUACGCUUGUGGUCUCCCACCAGGUAACCCUCAGCAAAUGGGGGUUCGCUGGAGCUCAUAAAUGUCUCUCCUCAGUGAGGACAGCUUUUGAAC